rnacentral:lncRNA from 1 species
CUCCAUCUCAAAAAAAAAAAAAAAAAUUGUUGUAGGCUGGGCAUGGUGGCUCAUGCCUGUAAUCCCAGCACUUUGGGAGGCUGAGGCAGGUGGAUCACGAGGUCAGGAGUUUGAGACCAGCCUGGCCAAGAUGGUGAAACCCCGUCUCUACUAAAAAUACAAGAAUUAGCUGGGCGUGGUGUCAGGCGCCUGUAAUCCCAGCUACGCAGGAGGCUGAGGCAGGAGGCUUGAACCCAGGAGUUGGAGGUUGCAGUGAGUUGAGAUGGCACCACUGCACUCCAGACUGGGCAACAGAGCUAGACUCUCUCUCUCUCUGUCUCUCUCUCUCUCACACACACACACACACACACACACAAAAUUAUUGUUGUAGUCUUAAUUUUUCCAAAUGGCUAUACAGGCUGUCCCCAGAGACUCCUGGCUCCCAUCAGUGGAUGUGCCAGGGUGCCUGUGAAAGGGCAGGAGGUCAGACCAGAAAACAUGCCAAGUGCUCCUCCAGCAAUCAGAUUCUGAAAUUCUGCCUAGCAAGGAACUGUUGCUUUUUUGCCACAACAGCACAACGCCCUGCACCGGGGUGUGUGUGCAUGUGUGUGUGUGUGUGUGUGUGUGUGUGUGUGUGUGUGUGUGUGCACGCGCGUGAUGACUUCUGUCCUAUCCAGGCGAGGGGGCCUCCGCACUGGGGUUUACUCCAGGCCUCCUGCUGGUGGCACACAUGGGGGCAAGUGCUGUGUAUGAGCUCCCCGGAAGUUUCAGAAUCAAAUGCUAUCCUUGCUUCCUCCUUAGUAUCUUCUUGAUUAUCCCAGCCCCAUUUCUUCUGCUUCACUCAGAGCAGAGGUGGGGAAGAAGGAGGCCACUUGGAGGCCAGGACAGGGAGGGUUCUCUAGAGCCAGCUGAGUUACUCUGAGGUCUUGGCAAGUGCAGAGAUUGAGAGCACAGACUGGUGUUGGACAGCCCAGGUUCAAAUCCUGACUUUGGCCAGGUGCAGUGGCUCAUGCCUGUAAUUCCAGCACUCUGGGAGGCUGAGGCAGGUGGAUCACUUGAGAUCAGGAGUUUGAGAUCAGCCUGGCCAAUAUGGUGAAACCUCAUCUCUACUAAAAAUACAAAAAUUGGCCAGGCAUGGUGGUGCACGCCUGUAAUCUCAGCUACUUGAGAGACU